rnacentral:misc_RNA from 1 species
GAUGAAGAACGUAGCGAAAUGCGAUAAGUAAUGUGAAUUGCAGAAUUCAGUGAAUCAUCGAAUCUUUGAACGCACAUUGCGCCCAUUAGUAUUCUAGUGGGCAUGCCUGUUCGAGCGUCAUUAAGUCCACUUAAGCCCUGCUUAGUGUUGGGAGACUGCUCCAGCGGUGCUACCCUGUAGCUACCCUGCAGCUCCUCAAAGACUGCGGCGGAGUUGUGGUAUCCUCUGAGCUUAGUAACUUGUUCUAGCUUUCGAGUACACCACUUCCCCUGCCGUAAAACCCUUAAUUUUUAAUGGUUGACCUCGGAUCAGGUAGGAAUACCCGCUGAACUUAAGCAUAUCAAUAAGCGGAGGA